rnacentral:misc_RNA from 1 species
GGAAUUUAAGGUGUACAUUAUAAGAGCAUAUGAAUCAAAAGACAAUGAAGAGAAGGAAAAUGAAAAAGAAAACAAUGAAGAUGAUGGCAAGGAUAUAGAAGUUACACCUUUGAAUAGAAGUGCCAAACGGACUAGAGCAAGUAGGAGGUAGUCUUUGACAACAUAAAAGCUGUGUUAGAGAGCUGGGUCUUUUUGUUUUGGCUUGUAGUAAUUACCAUACAUGCCAAUGCAUUGUAAAAUGGCAUCUAAUUCCUUGUUUAGUGGCACAAAUACUAUGGUUGAGAAAUUAACUUACUAGUUUUCUGUAGCAAUAGCAUGACAUUGCAUUUUCUUAUUAAUGGUUGUUUUAGG